UGGGGAAUAUUGGACAAUGGGGGAAACCCUGAUCCAGCGAUGCCGCGUGUGUGAAGAAGGCCUGCGGGUUGUAAAGCACUUUAGGGCGGGGCGAAGAUAGUUAGGCGAACACCCUAAGUAUUUGACAGUACCGCCAGAAUAAGCACCGGCAAACUCUGUGCCAGCAGCCGCGGUAAGACAGAGGGUGCAAGCGUUAAUCGGAAUUACUGGGCGUAAAGGGCGCGUAGGCGGAACGUUAAGUGAGAUGUGAAAGCCCUGGGCUCAACCUAGGAAUGGCAUUUCAAACUGGCGCUCUGGAGUAGGGUAGAGGGGUGUGGAAUUCACGGUGUAGCGGUGAAAUGCGUAGAUAUCGUGAGGAACAUCGAAGGCGAAGGCAGCACUCUGGGCCCAUACUGACGCUGAGGCGCGAAAGCGUGGGGAGCAAACA
rnacentral:rRNA from 1 species